rnacentral:pre_miRNA from 1 species
UUGUUUGCUGGUGCAGCAUCAUCCAGAUUCACAAGUGUUAAUAUUGACAUCAUCAUUUGAAUCUUGAGAUGUCUUGAUCGGAGUUGAGAAUCUUGAUGAUGCUGCAUCAGCCAUAUA